CACGUAGGGCGCAAGCGUUGUCCGGAAUUAUUGGGCGUAAAGAGCUCGUAGGCGGUUUGUCGCGUCGGCUGUGAAAACCCGAGGCUCAACCUCGGGCCUGCAGUCGAUACGGGCAAACUAGAGUGUGGUAGGGGAGACUGGAAUUCCUGGUGUAGCGGUGAAAUGCGCAGAUAUCAGGAGGAACACCGGCGGCGAAGGCGGGUCUCUGGGCCAUAACUGACGCUGAGACGCGAAAGCGUGGGGAGCAAACAGG
rnacentral:rRNA from 1 species